AAGUCGUAACAAGGUUUCCGUAGGUGAACCUGCGGAAGGAUCAUUACAGUGUUCGCUGCCCUCACGGGUAGCAAACCUCACCCUUGUGUAUUAUAUCUUUGUUGCUUUGACACGCCGCCUUCGGGUACCGGCUCUGGCUGGCUCGUGUGUGUCAAAGGACCUAAAACUCUGAAUGUUAGUGUCGUCUGAGUACUAUCUAAUAGUUAAAACUUUCAACAACGGAUCUCUUGGUUCUG
rnacentral:misc_RNA from 1 species